GGGGAUGAUGGAACUGUUUCAAUAACAUCGGCCAUGUUGUGUGAUUUCGUUUAGGUGCUGUCAAAUAAAAGAUUUUGUGCAAAAUAUUGCACAAAUUAUGGACGAAACGAAAGUAAUUUAUCACAUCGAUGACGAAGAAACCCCUUAUUUAGUGAAAAUUGCGAUUUCCCCCGAGAAAGUGACUCUCGCCGAUUUUAAAAAUGUACUCAAUCGCCCCAACUACAAAUUCUUCUUCAAGUCCAUGGACGACGAUUUCGGCGUCGUCAAGGAGGAGAUCGUCGAGGAUUCCGCACACUUGCCGUGUUUUAACGGACGGGUUGUCAGUUGGUUGGUCUCGGCCGAAGGCUCGAACCAAUCGGACGGCGGCUCACAAUGUACAGAUAGCGUAACACACCAGUCCGAACAGCGAAUGGUCCCACCUCCGCCCGAUUCCGUCUGCACAGAUACCGAAAGUAUUAUAAGCUCGAGACAGGGCAGACGGCACCACAAGUAUAAUUCGCGAAUCAACGGCCAUCUCCCACGGUUAUUCGAAACGUCGUCCAUAGUUAGCUCAGAUUUAGAAACGACAAGCUUCCAGUCGGAAACGACCGGCCGACACACAGCCCUAUCUGAAUGCUCUAGUGUUAGUAGGUUACACGUAGCUAGCAGAAAAAGGCCGCAGAGACGACGAAAGCAACGAUUACAGGCAAUGUCGCGUACGAGCUCGUAUUCGAGCAUCACGGACUCGACGAUGUCCCUAAAUAUCAUCACCGUCACGUUGAAUAUGGACACUGUCAAUUUUUUAGGAAUUUCAAUAGUAGGACAAAGCAAUAAGGGAGGUGACGGCGGAAUAUACGUCGGUUCCAUAAUGAAGGGGGGCGCCGUGGCACUCGAUGGUCGAAUAGAGCCGGGCGAUAUGAUUUUACAAGUGAACGACGUUAACUUUGAGAAUAUGUCAAACGAUGAGGCGGUUAGGGUGUUAAGGGAAGUUGUGCAAAAGCCAGGACCAAUUAAAUUAGUAGUUGCCAAAUGCUGGGAUCCCAAUCCGAAAGGGUACUUCACUAUUCCAAGGACCGAACCAGUUCGACCAAUAGAUCCUGGUGCGUGGGUAGCUCACACGGCAGCAGUACGAGGGGAUCCAGUUGUGAGACCCCCGAGCAGUUCGACGGUUUCCAGCGCGUCCAUUACUAGCACGAUACCGGCCAACGAACGUGAGUCCGCCAGUCCGUUCGUUCACCGCCUAACCGUAACCUUCGUUGCAGAUAUGGAGGAGCACUUAAGUGUAAAUAGCGCGAUGGCGAUGGUCGUGCAGGCGAUGCAGCGGCCCGACAGCGGUCUCGAGAUACGCGAUCGCAUGUGGCUCAAAAUAACGAUUCCUAACGCGUUCAUAGGCACGGACCUAAUCGACUGGCUGAUGAGUCACGUCGAGGGCUUCCAAGACAGGCGCGAUACGCGCAAGUACGCCUCGCACCUUCUCAAAGCCGGAUUCAUUAGGCACACGGUGAACAAGAUCACGUUCUCCGAACAGUGCUACUAUAUCUUCGGGGAUCUCUGUUCGGCAAUGUCGAAUUUGAAGGUGCAGGGCGACGCCGACUCGGUCGGUCCGCUGCCUAACGUACCCAAUUACAUGCCGUACAGUGGAACGUAUAACCCCUUAGAGUAUAUGCCCAUGCCGUUCUACACGGCGAGCGAGCAUACGGUUUAUGGGUACAAUCGCGAGGAGUCCGUGCUGAGCGGAAGCGGUGGAUCGUCUAACGGCUCCGAUCAUCUCAAGGACGGCGGAGCGCACAGCAGCGCGUCCGAUAGUGAUAUUACUUCGCUGGGUCCCCGUUCCGCGAUACCGAUCGCGGUCGGCAACGGCAACGGAUCCUCGAACGGGUCUGAUCAGAGCAGCGGUACGCAGGUGGCGGCACAAGCGAAAGAUAUUGCCGUUUUAAGUUACCUCUAAAAGUGCAAUAUUCUACGUAUUUUGCAAGAGUUUUUUGCAAAAUUAUUUUGCGGAGCAAGUCGGUAUUGUCGGUUACCAAUUCUCCCAGACGUAAGUAACCAAAGCACACUGAAGAUGAUAAUAUAUUAGUAGUAUUAAACUUUUUUAAUUUUUAUAUAUGCUUUUUUGUAUAUGUCUACCUACUAAGAGAAGAAAGUGUACAGCUUAGUAAUUAAUGAUAUAUCUGUAUUAGGCGAAUUCGUCGUCGGUAGUUUUUUAACAAAUUUUAUUUUAUGCUAAGUGUUGUUUUGUAAAAUGGUUUAUCUAUCAGUUUUUUUUACUAUACUGUUAUAAAUUAUUUUCGUUUAAUCGAAACUUAGCGAACAAUUAGAGAAAGUAGUUUUUCAAAUAAAGAAGAAAAAAAAAGUUAAAAACGACAGGGUAUUCAAUGUAUUCACAACUAUAAUUACUGUAACAUUUCUAUACACGAGUUAUACGAGAAAUUCUUUCAAGGGACGUACAGGGAUAAUGAAAUGUUUUAUGGAAAUUAAAUGUAUGGAUAGCUAUUAUACUUUAUGGCGAGAUAACAUGUAAGUUGUAUCAAAUUAAAAGUUGUGAAUGUA